UAGAUUUUUGGUCAAGCUACAAAGGGCGUACGGUGAAUGCCUUGGCACAAGAAGGCGAUGAAGGACGUGAUAAGCUGCGAUAAGCUUCGGGGAGGUGCAAAUAACCUUUGAUCCGGGGAUUUCCGAAUGGGGCAACCCAAUGCAGGUCAUGCUGCAUUACCCUCGAGUGAACACAUAGCUCGAGCGGGGCGAACGGGGGGAACUGAACCAUCUAAGUACCCCUAGGAAAAGAAAGCAACCGCGAUUCCCCUAGUAGUGGCGAACGAACGGGGAACAGCCCAAACUGCCUGUAUGUUAAAGCGAGCACGCGUUGUACGGGCGGGGUUGUGGGACGUCAUUUGGCGAGGGUGCUAACUUGCCGGGAAGUUACCAAUCAACACCAUAGUCGAAGUGUUCUGGAAAGUUCAACCAUAGAAGGUGAUAGUCCUGUAGACGAAAUGGUAGUUGACUUCCUUAUGAUGUUCCCGAGUACCACGGGACACGUGAAACCCUGUGGGAAGCUGGGGAGACCACUCUCCAAGGCUAAAUACUCUCUUGUGACCGAUAGCGCACUAGUACCGGUGAGGGAAAGGUGAAAAGUACUCCGAGAAGGAGAGUGAAAUAGUACCUGAAACCGUACGCUUACAAGCAGUCGGAGGGGACUUGUUCCCUGACGGCGUGCCUUUUGCAUAAUGAGCCGGCGAGUUACUUGUAUGCAGCGAGGUUAAUUCACUAAGUGAAGGAGCCGUAGCGAAAGCGAGUCUGAAUAGGGCGUUCAGUUGCAUGCAGUAGACCCGAAGCCAGGUGAUCUACCCAUGGCCAGGAUGAAACGUGAGUAAAAUCACGCGGAGGUCCGAACCGGUGUACGUUGAAAAGUGCUCGGAUGAGCUGUGGGUAGGGGUGAAAGGCCAAUCAAACCUGGAGAUAGCUGGUUCUCCCCGAAAUAGCUUUAGGGCUAGCCUCUUGUUAAAGAGUCGUGGAGGUAGAGCACUGGAUCGGUAAGGGGGCUCACCAGCUUACUUAGCCGAACCAAACUCCGAAUGCCAUUGACUUGUUCCAAGGGAGUCAGCGUGCGAGGGAUAAACUCCGUACGCGAGAGGGAAACAACCCAGAUCGCCAGCUAAGGUCCCUAAGUGUAUGCUAAGUGAUUUAAAGGAUGUGAGAUUGCGCAGACAGCUAGGAUGUUGGCUUAGAAACAGCCACCAUUUAAAGAGUACGUAAUAGUUCACUAGUCAAGUGAUUUUGCGCCGACAAUGUAUCGGGGCUAAGCAUACCACCGAAGCUGCGGACUCAGUAAUGCGUUCGCGUAUUACUGAUUGGUAGGGGAGCGUUCCAUAGUAGGUCGAAGGUGAACCGUAAGGUUUGCUGGACGAGAUGGAAGUGAUUAUGUCGGCAUGAGUAGCGAUAAAGCGGGUGAGAAUCCCGCUCACCGAAAAUCUAAGGUUUCCUGGGCUAGGCUCGUCCUCCUGGGGUUAGUCGGGACCUAAGCUGA
rnacentral:rRNA from 1 species